AUGUCCUCUGGGGGUUUGCACCAGGCCCAGGACCGUCGGGAUACCAACCAGUCCCACUGCACCCCCUGUCCCAAGUGCCCAACUCUUGAACUCCUGGGAGGACCAUCUGUCUUCAUCUUCCCCCCAAGACCCAAGGACACGCUCAUGAUCUCCCUGACCCCCAAGAUCACCUGUGUUGUAGUAGAUGUGAGCCAGGAAGAUCCUGAGGUUGAGUUCACCUGGUACAUGGAUGACGUGCAGGUGAACACAGCGGAGAAACAGCCCCGGGAAGAGCAAUUCAAUGGCACAUUUCGCGUGGUCAGUGUCCUUCCAAUCCUGCACCAGGACUGGCUGAAGGGCAAAGAGUUCACAUGCAAGGUCAACAGCAAUGCCAUCCCAACCCCUAUCCAGAAGACGAUCUCCAAAGUCAAAGGGAAACCCAAGGAGCCACAGGUGUACAUCCUGCCCCCACCCCAAGAGGAGCUGUCCAAGGACAAAGUCAGUUUGACCUGCCUGAUCACUGACUUCUUUCCUUCUGACAUCCACGUGGAGUGGGCGAGCAAUGGGCAUCCAGUGAAUAUACAGGACUACAAGACCACCCCACCCAUGAAGGACACUGACAACUCCUACUUCCUCUACAGCAAGCUCACUGUGAACAAGAGCCAGUGGGAACAGGGAAACGUCUUUACUUGCUCAGUGUUGCACGAAGCCCUGCAUAACCACCUCACAGAGAAGACCAUCUCCCGUUCUCUGGGUAAAUAAGUGCUGUGUCCAGCAAGCCCUCACUAAUCUGCAGGCUCUAGAGUCCUGUAAGACCCUGUCCCCCAAACACCCAUAUAAAUAAAACACCCAGCACUGCCUGGGACCCUGCGA